rnacentral:rRNA from 1 species
GAUCAUGGCUCAGAGCGAACGCUGGCGGCAGGCUUAACACAUGCAAGUCGAGCGGGCGUAGCAAUACGUCAGCGGCAGACGGGUGAGUAACGCGUGGGAACGUACCUUUUGGUUCGGAACAACACAGGGAAACUUGUGCUAAUACCGGAUAAGCCCUUACGGGGAAAGAUUUAUCGCCGAAAGAUCGGCCCGCGUCUGAUUAGCUAGUUGGUAGGGUAAUGGCCUACCAAGGCGACGAUCAGUAGCUGGU